rnacentral:rRNA from 1 species
AUUGAACGCUGGCGGCAGGCCUAACACAUGCAAGUCGAACGAGUGGCGGACGGGUGAGUAAUGUCUGGGAAAUUGCCCGAUGGAGGGGGAUAACUACUGGAAACGGUAGCUAAUACCGCAGACACGCAGAUGUGCCCAGAUCGGAUUAGCUUGUUGGUGGGGUAACGGCUCACCAAGGCGACGAUCCCUAGCUGGUGUGAGAGGAUGACCAGCCACACUGGGACUGAGCCACGGUCCAGACUCCUACGGUAGGCAGCAGUGGGGAAUAUUGCACAAUGGGCGCAACCCUGAUGCAGCCAUGCCGCGUGUAUUAUGAAGGCCUUCGGGUUGUAAAGUACUUUCAGCAGGGAGGCGUUACCCGCAGAAGAAGCACCGGCUAACUCCGUGCCAGCAGCCGCGGUAAUAC